UAGGGAAUCUUCCGCAAUGGGCGAAAGCCUGACGGAGCAACGCCGCGUGAGUGAUGAAGGUCUUCGGAUCGUAAAACUCUGUUAUUAGGGAAGAACAAAUGUGUAAGUAACUAUGCACGUCUUGACGGUACCUAAUCAGAAAGCCACGGCUAACUACGUGCCAGCAGCCGCGGUAAUACGUAGGUGGCAAGCGUUAUCCGGAAUUAUUGGGCGUAAAGCGCGCGUAGGCGGUUUUUUAAGUCUGAUGUGAAAGCCCACGGCUCAACCGUGGAGGGUCAUUGGAAACUGGAAAACUCGAGUGCAGAAGAGGAAAGUGGAAUUCCAUGUGUAGCGGUGAAAUGCGCAGAGAUAUGGAGGAACACCAGUGGCGAAGGCGACUUUCUGGUCUGUAACUGACGCUGAUGUGCGAAAGCGUGGGGAUCAAACAGG
rnacentral:rRNA from 1 species